rnacentral:tRNA from 1 species
GAGUCUGUAGCGCAAUCGGUAGAGCGCCGGUCUCCAAAACCGGAGGUUGGGGGUUCGAGUCCCCCCAGGCUCGCCA